GUCACAGUUCAUUGUCACCUCCAGGAUGCAACUUGUCAAGGUACUGUUCGCUUCCCUGCUGAUGCUAGCGGAAUGCGGAUAUCUUCACGCUUACGGUGUGCCCGGCAAGGCGGCACCACCACCCCCACCCCCACCACCACCAGUGGCACCUAUCAUCCACCAAGAGAAAACAACCCAACUUUAUCAAGCCCCCGUCACCACAUGUGCGGGCGGCCAAGUACUCCACGUCGACGGACGCUGCGUCACACCUGCAAUCAGUCGCUCCGUCUACCUGUUCAACGUCCCGCAGCAGGCCCCAAAACUGGCCGGUCCUCCGCCCCCCGCUCCUCUGCCGAGGGUCGACCAUAACAUCAUUUUCGUCCGCGUGCCAGAGGACCAGAGAGGCCCGGAACCCAUCGUGGUCCCUCCUCCCCAGCAGAAGAACAUCGUCUACGUCCUGAAGAAGAAGACAGAACUCAGUGGCCCCAAAGUCAUUGAGGCUCCAGCGCCUCCCAAGACAAACCCGGACGUCUACUUCGUGGGUUACGAUCAGGGCGAGAACCCCAUUCUUCCCACGGGCGAAGACCUGGCCAGCGUUCUCGCCCAGGGCGGCCAGGAGACUCAGGCCAAGGUGGUGGACAGCGGGCCGUCAGGAGGCCAGGCUGGAAGUAGUAGUAUUGGCGCAGCAGCCGGUCCCGUCAAGGAAGUCGCCAGUCAAGUGGGCAGUCUUCUUCCACCUCUUCCAGUCGCUGGCUUCGGGUCACAGGGGGGUCCUGGAAGCGCUGGGACAUCGCAGGGAAGUGCAGCUGGAGCUGCAUCGCUGGGAGCUGGAACCAUUAACAAGGGAAGCAGUAUUGGUGGAGCUGGUGCCUCGACAAGCGCUCCAGUGGCUC